AUCACGUGACCGUUUCUAUUUAAUAACAAGUAGAAUCAUUUCUGUGAAUGUGAUAUCCGAAGAGCGUUGAACUCAUUAUUUUUUGCCUUUCAUAAUCCAGGUUUCUUGUUAUAACUGUUGAAGUAACAGCCCAAGUUUCAUGAAGGAGAGUGCUUGUUUUAAAAUGAUGAGACAUGCUGCUGCACCAGACAGGAUAAUUUAUGGUUACCCAUUGGCCUUCUUACCUGAUGCAACACCAUAUACUGAUAUGGAUUUUGAUGGGAAAGUUAAAACUGUAUGUCAGUCAGAGAGAGCAAUAAGGAUAGGGU